GAUGAACGCUGGCGGCGUGCCUAAUACAUGCAAGUCGAGCGAACAGACGAGGAUCUUGCUCCUCUUACGUUAGCGGCGGACGGGUGAGUCACACGUGUAUAACCUACCUAUAAGACUGGGAUCACUUCGGGAAACCGGAGCUAAUCCCGUAUAAUAUAUUGCACCGCAUUGUUCAAUAGUGAAAGACGGUUUUGCUGUCACUUAUAGAUGGAUCCGCGCCGCAUUAGCUAGUUGGUAAGGUAACGGCUUACCAAGGCAACGAUGCGUAGCCGACCUGAGAGGGUGAUCGGCCACACUGGAACUGAGACACGGUCCAGACUCCUACGGGAGGCAGCAGUAGGGAAUCUUCCGCAAUGGGCGAAAGCCUGACGGAGCAACGCCGCGUGAGUGAUGAAGGUCUUCGGAUCGUAAAACUCUGUUAUGAGGGAAGAACAAAUGUGUAAGUAACUAUGCACGUCUUGACGGUACCUAAUCAGAAAGCCACGGCUAACUACGUG
rnacentral:rRNA from 1 species